UCUAAUACCGGAUAUGACCGUCUGCCGCAUGGUGGAUGGUGUAAAGCUCCGGCGGUGCAGGAUGAGCCCGCGGCCUAUCAGCUUGUUGGUGAGGUAGUGGCUCACCAAGGCGACGACGGG
rnacentral:rRNA from 1 species